rnacentral:rRNA from 1 species
GACGAACGCUGGCGGCGUGCUUAACACAUGCAAGUCGAACGGAAAGGCCCUGCGUUUGCGGGUCUCUCGAUUGGCGAGGGGGGGAGAAACACAUGUGUAUCCUGCCCCUGUCUGAGUGGGAACUCUUGGAGACUCGGGCGAUUACCGCGGAUGAUCUCUUGAUCCGCGGGGUGGGUUGGAAAAUUUCGGCUGUGGGGGAUGGACUCGCGGCUUAUGCGCUGGUUGGGGAGGUAGUGGCUGACCAGGGGUUCGACGGGUAGCCGGCCUGGGAGGGUGACCGGCCACAUUGGGACUGAGAUACGGACCAGACUCCAACGGGAGGCAGCAGUGGGGAAUAUUGCACAAUGGGCGGAAGCCUGAUGCAGAAACGCUGCGUGCGGGAUGACGGCCUUCGGGUUGUAAACCGCUUUCGACUGUGACGAAGAGUGAGUGACGGUAAUGGGUAAAGAAGCACCGGCUAACUACGUG